GGUGCGUAACGCGUAUGCAACCUACCUUGAACUGGAAUAUAGCCCCGAGAAAUCGGGAUUAAUAUUCCAUAAUGUCCAUUUUUUGCAUAUGAGAUGGAUUAAAGUUACGGCGGUUCAAGAUGGGCAUGCGUGACAUUAGCUAGUUGGUGAGGUAACGGCUCACCAAGGCGACGAUGUCUAGGGGUCCUGAGAGGGUUUCCCCCCACACUGGUACUGAGACACGGACCAGACUCCUACGGGAGGCAGCAGUAAGGAAUAUUGGUCAAUGGACGCAAGUCUGAACCAGCCAUGCCGCGUGCAGGAUGACUGCCCUACGGGUUGUAAACUGCUUUUACGUGAGAAAAAACUCCCCGAUUCGUUCGGGGACUGAUGGUAUCACAUGAAUAAGCAUCGGCUAACUCCGUGCCAGCAGCCGCGGUAAUACGGAGGAUGCAAGCGUUAUCCGGAUUCAUUGGGUUUAAAGGGUGUGCAGGCGGAAUGAUAAGUCAGAGGUGAAAUCCCCCGGCUCAACCGGGGACCUGCCUUUGAUACUGUUGUUCUUGAGUAUAGUUGAAGUGGGCGGAAUGUGUCAUGUAGCGGUGAAAUGCAUAGAUAUGACACAGAACACCGAUAGCGAAGGCAGCUCACUAACCUAUAACUGACGCUCAUGCACGAAAGCGUGGGGAGCAAACAGGAUUAGAUACCCUGGUAGUCCACGCUGUAAACUAUGAUCACUAGUUGUUAGCGAUACACUGUUAGCGACUGAGGGAAACCAUUAAGUGAUCCACCUGGGGAGUACGGCCGCAAGGUUGAAACUCAAAGGAAUUGACGGGGGCCCGCACAAGCGGAGGAGCAUGUGGUUUAAUUCGAUGAUACGCGAGGAACCUUACCUGGGCUUAAAUGCAGGACGACAUCCCGUGAAAACGGGAUUUCUUCGGACGGCCUGCAAGGUGCUGCAUGGUUGUCGUCAGCUCGUGCCGUGAGGUGUCGGGUUAAGUCCCAUAACGAGCGCAACCCCUAUUCUUAGUUGCCAUCAGGUAAUGCUGGGAACUCUAAGGAAACUGCCUACGCAAGUAGUGAGGAAGGUGGGGAUGACGUCAAAUCAGCACGGCCCUUAUGUCCAGGGCGACACACGUGCUACAAU
rnacentral:rRNA from 1 species